rnacentral:lncRNA from 1 species
GCCUCUUGUUGCCGUUGCUUCUGAAUCCUUGAAGUUCCAGCUUCUAGGACGGUUCCCAUGCACCUAGUAAGGUGCUCCACACUCAAUACUCACCACGAUAAGAGAAAAAUAGUGACUUCUGCCCCUUUGUCUUCAACAGCGAGAGACCUACAACUAAGCCCGUGCACUUUCCACUGAGCCACGCUGAUAUGGUGAUGGUUGGGCAGCUUGGGAGUUUUUUUCAGCAGCUGAUGAGUCCCUGGAGCUUUGGUGCUGCUCUCCAGUUCCCACUUUGGAGCUAU